ACUAGCAUCAUUUUCAUUUAUAUGGAUGCAUUUGAAUUGGUUCUUGUAUGAAAAAGGCAAAUAGUGCUGAACAAGAAUCUUGGAUGAAAUCUUGUAGGGAAAAAGUGGAUGUCAAGUAAGGUUGCCAUCAAGUAAAAGUUAAGGUUACAAUUUAUUUUGAUGGUCCACUUUAGACAAUCUGUAACUUUGCAACUACAUGUCAACUAACUCUCAUUAGAGUAUUAGACUGUAGACUGUUAGGUUAGGGUUUGGGUUAGAAGAAUAAGUUGACGUAGUUGCAAAGUUAUUUAUAAUCAGUAGAAUGACUGUUGGUGGAGCAUCAAAAUAAGGUCUUGGCAGAUAUUAAGCAGACAGCCUACUAAUACUCUAAUGACUGCUAAUUGACAUGUAAUUGCAAAGUUACUUUAAGUUAGCAGAAUGUCUAAAGUAGACCAUCAAAAUAAAGUUUUACCAAAAUGAAUAACAUAAUGACAUUUACACCUUACACCUAUGUCAAUAUGUAAACUAUUUAACUUGUCUAACUGAUUAUCAAGUAAUUGACUGCUGAUGAAUUAUUCACUGAAAUAGUGCUUCAAUAUGGAUUUUAUAACUUCAUUUUUAAUUUGUUUUUCAGUUUGUUUGUACAUCUCUUUUACAACUCCUCUUCUCAGGUUCAUAUAUUAAAAUAUAUUUUUGGGCUUGCCAUCCAGUCAGUCAGGGGAAGAAUUGUCAGCAGAUGUAGGGGGGAGCUAUUACGCAUAACUGAAAGAGUGCAGACUCUCCGGAUCAAAACACAGGUGAAGAAGCAGAAAAAAGCGAUAGAGACAUUGCUUACGCAAAUGUAAAAUAAUGCGAUCAUCAAAAUUAAACAGCAUAUAAAUCAAAACUGCCUAACAUAACCAAAUGAAAUGUCAAACCCAUAAAUAGGAAACGACUGUGAAGCUUUGGGGUGUUGAUAAACUCAGUCUACUCCAUCUAUGUUUUUGAACAUCGUCUGAAUUCAAAAACAAAAUCGUUUGACAAAAAUGCCAUUUUCUUAGCUUUUGCUCAAAAUGUUGCCCUUUUUUUAAUGAAAUUACCCACAUUCGAGUGUUGUGAAUAAAAAAAAGAAUGCAUGAUGCUAGAAUUUUUUUUUCUUUCUUUCUUUCUUUCUUUCUUUUGAUAUAUUGUAUGUUCAGAUAUUCAUACAACAAAAUAUUCUGGGGGCCAUGAUUUUAUUUUUUUUUUAAAUUGAUUAAAAAAAAAAUGCUACCACUGGUUGGCAGUAAAAAAAUUUUUUUUAAAAACUGGCGGGGAAAGACUUAAAAAGCUUGGAUUUUUGAAAUGUUAUUCCAUUAUUGUCAUCUUGUUUGUUUCUA